rnacentral:rRNA from 1 species
UGGGGAAUAUUGCACAAUGGGCGCAAGCCUGAUGCAGCAACGCCGCGUGAGGGAUGACGGCCUUCGGGUUGUAAACCUCUUUUAGUAGGGAAGAAGCGAAAGUGACGGUACCUGCAGAAAAAGCACCGGCUAACUACGUGCCAGCAGCCGCGGUAAUACGUAGGGUGCGAGCGUUGUCCGGAAUUAUUGGGCGUAAAGAGCUCGUAGGCGGUCUGUCGCGUCUGCUGUGAAAACCCGAGGCUCAACCUCGGGCCUGCAGUGGGUACGGGCAGACUAGAGUGCGGUAGGGGAGAAUGGAAUUCCUGGUGUAGCGGUGGAAUGCGCAGAUAUCAGGAGGAACACCGAUGGCGAAGGCAGUUCUCUGGGCCGUAACUGACGCUGAGGAGCGAAAGCGUGGGGAGCGAACAGGAUUAGAUACCCUGGUAGUCCACGCCGUAAACGUUGGGCGCUAGAUGUGGGGACCAUUCCACGGUUUCCGUGUCGCAGCUAACGCAUUAAGCGCCCCGCCUGGGGAGUACGGCCGCAAGGCU